GGAGUUAGCCGGUGCUUCUUCUGCGAGUAACGUCACAGAUGUAAGGUAUUAACUUACACCCUUUCCUCCUCGCUGAAAGUGCUUUACAACCCGAAGGCCUUCUUCACACACGCGGCAUGGCUGCAUCAGGGUUUCCCCCAUUGUGCAAUAUUCCCCACUGCUGCCUCCCGUAGGAGUCUGGGCCGUGUCUCAGUCCCAGUGUGGCUGAUCAUCCUCUCAGACCAGCUAGGGAUCGUCGCCUAGGUGAGCCUUUACCUCACCUACUAGCUAAUCCCACCUGGGCUUAUCCAUCAGCGCAAGGCCCGAAGGUCCCCUGCUUUCCCCCGUAGGGCGUAUGCGGUAUUAGCAGUCGUUUCCAACUGUUAUCCCCCACAAAUGGGCAAAUUCCCAGGCAUUACUCACCCGUCCGCCGCUCGUCAUCUUCAAAGCAAGCUUUUGAAAUGUUACCGCUCGACUUGCAUGUGUUAGGCCUGCCGCCAGCGUUACAUCUGACGCCAUGAUCAAACUCUGA
rnacentral:rRNA from 1 species